CUGCUCUUCAAUUGGUCUUAAUCCCCAGCCCAAAAUACCCCUUUAUCGCUCCAGCCCAAAAAACCUGACCCAAACCCACCUUUUUACCCGCCCGUUUCCCCUCCAUAUAUAAACCUCCUUAUAUCAUUUCCCUAAUUCAAACCCUAGACCUAAAAAAUGCAGAAACAGCGCCCCCUUGUACUGUUCAUCUUCUUCAUCGAUUCAAGGCGAGUUCAAUCAAACGAGUUCAUUCUCUCCACGUCACCUUUAUUCCAACAUAUUUCUGUCAGAGAAAAAGAAUAUUCCCUCUGAAUUCUGUACUAUUGAGCGUUUUGCUGGAUGAAUGGGAGCCGGGAUGGAUGGAAAUCAGUCCAUACCUUCCAUUUGUCCUUAAAAUUGCUCACAAACGAGGGGAUUUUUUGGAUUUUUGAGCAGAAGCGUUGAGAUUUUUUAGGGUUAUAUAUAAGGUAAGUCUUUUCUUGUUAAAGGGAGGAAAUUUUUUUCAGAAAAUUAGUAGAGUAAAUUUCUAGGGUUCUUGAAGUUUUUUCUUCAGAUCGGGCCUUCUUUUUAGUCCACAUCUUUUCAGAAAACGAUAAACACGAAAUAAAAAAUGGUCUGAGUUUGUAUUCUUCAUUCGAGUUUCAUUUUCAAAAGAAAAUUAGAGCAAAAGCACAAAAACGUUUUUCAACAUUUUUUUGGUUGAUUCUGGUUAUCAAGAAUGGUUUUGCAUUGAGUUGAUUUCUGGUUCUCAAAGCUGUGGAUUUGCCGUUGAUUUCGUUUGAUUUUGACUGCUGAUUUUGUGUUGGCUGGCUCGAUUCAUAUCUUUCUCUGCCUUUAUUUGUUUGCUGCUGAUUCUUCUCGAGUUUUGGAGUCGACCUUUGUGUAUUGGUUGAUUUUUACUAAGAAUUUUGGCAAUAACAGGUGCCUUCCUAUUACUCUUGCCUCUAUUAUUGUUUCUUGUUUAUGGUUAAAUGAGAGUUUGGUUGUUCUAAUUGUUUGAUGUCAAAAUAGUUGUGACUGUAUUUCUGUUUAGGACAUUAAAAUUAGUUUGUCUUCUCUUGUUAAAGUAAAAAUGAAAGAUUUGAACAAGGUUUAUCAGUUAAUGAAUAGGUUCAUAUUUCUGCGAUUCUUCCCUGUUAAGGUCUUUAAAGUUCUUGGUGUCCAUGCCUCAUCAUGAUUCACGAGGAACAACUAUUCCUGUUAAGGUCUUUGACACAUUAGGCCUGUAAAGGAGAGCGAAUUGCCUGAUACAGAAUCUUUGGCAUCCUAAACUGGUGCCUUUUUCUUCGCCAUAUAUGUUGUGCUGCUUGCUUGGUGAACAACUAUGUUAUCCGACUUUUGACUGUUUAUACACAAAUUGAAAUGGAGCCGUUUGGAACCAUUAUUGAAAAUGACUGCAACAUUAAUUUGGUAUUUUUUAGUUGUACAUUUGUUGGUAGUCACUUUCUAAGUUGAAUCACUGUGAUGUGGAGUUAUAUAUGAUUUUGAGCAUAUUACAAAGUAAAACUGAAAACGAGAGUGAUGAGACAUUUUUGUGUUGCCCUUGGUUUUGUAUUUUGUGAUAACUUGAUUCAUUAGUUGGACCGUCCUAGCUCAAAGGAAUAGAGUAGUUAGCGAAUGUUUAAGAACUGAUUAAAUUUCCUUCUAACUAUUUCAUGUUGGCCAAAGUUAUGAUUUCUAUUGCUGUAAUGGGCUAUGAAUGUGUAUUUGAAUUUUAAUUUGGGUGAAAUAGUGAAAUGGCUUGAGGAUGAUGCUUAGUGAGCUACUAGGAAGUUUGAUUCCAAUUAGGGAAUAUUAUUGCUAAUUAGUUGAAUCAUUCAGUUUUAAUUUGCAAUCCUUAGUCUCGAAAUGUGUUAAUCACCUAUCCUCUGGUCGAAUUUUGUAGUCAAUGCUUGAAUUAAUUCACUUCAAGGGUUGUCAUUUAAGCUGUUUUUGUAUGAUUUUGUUUAAGAUUCAGAUUACCUAUUACCUAUCCGUUACAAUUUUGUAUGUACAAAGUGUGAUGGGCCCAACUUGCCAAAGGCCCAACAGAAAGGGACUAUGCACUCAAGUCUGAUCUACUGAGGUCAUUGGGCUUCAAGAGUUAACUCAAAUGAAUUUACUUGACUUACGAAAUUCAUUGGCAAAUCUGUAGAAAGCCUAAUACGUAUUACUUUACAAGAAUCAGAAUGUGAGCAUUACUAAAUCAAUCAGGUUAUGACCAUUUAUGAUACUUCUCUUAGUAUUGAAACAUGGAUCUACUCACAAUCAAUUUCUUAAUUUAUGACCUUUACAAUAAGCCCAAAUUAGGAUAAAUAAUAUUUUUUUAAUACCGUAGUUUGCUUUUAGGCGCGCAAUUAAAUUAUUACAACUACGGGUACGGUUCCCGUGACGUAGUUGUGAUGCUUAAUUACUAAAAUUCGGGGGUACAUUUAUGUGACCCGGCCAUAAUUUAGUCUUUUAAAAUUAAACAUGUUGUAGAUCGUGGGUACGACUCCCGUGACAUGAUUCGCAAUAUGUAACAGUAAUUAUUAAAAGCGGUUAUAAAGUUAAAAAAUGCAUAAUAGGUUUAAAAUGUGUAGUAAAUCAGAUAAUAAGCCAAUUAUUAAUAGUUUAAGCGACCGUGCUAGAACCAUAGAAUUCGGGAAUGCCUGACACCUUCUCCCGGGUUAACAUAAUUCCUUAUCUAGAAUUUCUGGUUCGCAGACUUUUGAAUAAAGUCGAAAAUUUCCUCGAUUUGGGAUUUAAAAUAAACCGGUGACUUGGAACAACAAAUAAACUAUUCCAAGUGGCGACUCUGAUAAAUUAAUUAAUCCCAUUUCGAAUAAUGUCACUUUAAUUGGAAAAACUCCCUUAUAUCCCCCUCUCGGGUGUAAAAAGGAGGUGUGAUAGCUCUGGCGACUCUGCUGGGGAUCAAAACCCAGAACUUCGGUUCAGGUUUCAAGAAUUCAAGCUUAGAAUAAUUGUUAUAAUUGGCUUUUAUUUAUUAUCUGAUUGUUUAUUACAUGUUUUAGCCUAAUGUGCUAAAUGCUGCUUUUUACCGCUUUGAUAUUAUUUGAACUGUAUAUAAGCUGUUAUGAAACCCUUCUCUUCUCAUCUUUGGGGAUGUGCACGCUGGCGUGACUCUUCUUUCUUUUAGUGUCAUACCUUGAAUUAGAAAGAGGCUCAGACAAGUUACAAAGCCGGAUGACCUUUUGGUUCCCCGUACGUACCCCCUAUCGAGUUGUCCGCUCUGGAACACCAAGUCUAGAACAAUAUACCCGUGUUUUAAACUUAGAAAACUCAGCCUCAUACUGGAUUCCUAGUAGGAACGCUUGUUUGCAUCAUGUGCAUUUGACUUUGGGGGCUCAACAUAGGGGUUGGGUCCGUCUAGGACAGGUGGAUCCCAGAAUCAAAAGACCAUCCUGAUGCAUUUUUACGUGCUACCUGUGCAAUUAUUUGCUUCGGUUUGCACGUUGACUAGUUGCUAGAAUAGGGAGAAAUUGGAAAACAUAAAAUUGAGGUAUGAGAGAGAUAAUUACUCGCCUUUGAAAAAAAAACCUAUUGUCCAAAGUAUACCGAAACUCUGCCGAAAUUUUGAAAAUUAUUUCAAAACAAAAAAAAAACAAAAAAAAGUAUUUCAUAUUUUUCAUUAUGUCAAAACUGACCGAACUACGCAAGUUUGAUUCUCACCGGAUGUGGGAUACAUAGGCAACCCUCACCGGGUCCAACUCCAUUUUUGCAAAAAUAACCCAAAAUUUGAAAUUUUGUUAUUCUGUCAUAAAUAAAAUUAGGUAAUGUUGUUCUUGUCUAAAUAACCCAAAAUGUCCCCAAAAGGACGCUGGAAGGCUGUUUUUGCAAGAAUAACCACCGAUUGCCCUUUUUCAAAAUUUUGGCUACCUAGCAAACAUAGCCCUAAAAUCUUCUUUUGCAAAGUGCUGAAGGGCCGCAUUUGCAAAAGUAGUUGUGUUAUUUAAGUUUUUGCAAUAUUGACCUCUUUUAUAAAAUUCGCUUUGUUUUAAACCAAUCACCUUAAUUUAAAUGUGCAGAAUGGGCACGAGUCAAAACUUGCCAAUGAAGGUCAUGACCAAGAUUCCUUUGGAACUGUAUAUGUGGUGGGAAGAUCUGGGUAAAUCAGGACGAGAUGUGGUCAACCAUUACUUGGGGGGUCUCACCGGUUUAUUGAAGAUCAGGCCUAGAGGAGAAAUAAUAAAUGCACUGGUUACAUUUUGGGAUCCAGCUCACAACGUGUUUCAUUUCUCGGACUUUGAACUCACACCCACUAUGGAAGAGAUAGGCGGUUAUGUUGGGAGUACCGAAGCUUUGAGACAUAGAUACCUGGUUGCCCCAAGAUCCGUCACUCCACACAAGUUUCUAGGUUUGCUAAAGAUAAGCAGGGGGGUCCAAUACCCAGAUUUGGCAGCUGGUUUUUCCACUCCAUAGUUCAUAUACAAGCGAUACAGACACAUAAGGGGGUUCAACAAUCCAGAAAGCAAAAUUUGCAGCGAAGGGAAUCGACUAAAAUGGGAAGAACAUAGAUUCUUCGCUUUCAUGGUGGUAUUUUUGGGUCUUCUAGUCUUUCCCAGGAAAGAUGGGAAUAUCGACGUACGGAUAGCCGGGUUGUCAACACUUUGCUUACUCAGGCCAAAAUCACCCUCGCACCCAUGAUAGUGUCUGAAAUAUUCCGAGCUCUCACAGUUUGCAAAGCCGGAGCAGACUUUUUUGAAGGGUGAAACUUGUUGCUACAAAUGUGGAUGAUUGAGCAUCUAUGUCAUCGUACUCAGUACAUGAACUAUGGGUCGAUGGGGGAAAGCUGCAUAGAGGAGUUUUAUACAAGGGUCGACGGGUUCAACAUGCCAGAAGGGGUCACAGAAUGGAUAUCUUGCCUCCGCCCCGUCACUGUAAAUCAAAUAGAAUGGUCGUUGUCUUGGCUUCCUGUUAAUGAAAUCAUAUACGUGCCAACCACCGGUCCCCACUUCCUCUUGGUGGGUCUUAGAAGUGUCCAGCUUUAUGCCCCCUACCGGGUUUUGAGAUAGCUAGGGAGAUGUCAAAUAGUUCCCAAGGAUGAGGACCUUAACCUUCAUGUGGUAGAGAUCCGUUCUGAUGGCCAGUUUCACGAAGCAGUGGUUCGCCAGAUGUGGAGUGAGUGUCAGUAUUUGACGGCAAAUACCCAAGUACGUGAUCUAUCCAGAGGUGAACUCUCACCUGAUUAUCUCAUCGGGUACAAAAGGAAAGUUGAGUUUGGAAGUCCAGCCAAAAGACCCCACCUCCAGGAGUUUGUUGAAACAUCCCAAGAACAGUGGGAGUGGUUGACAAAAGAAAAUGAAAACCGAGCCACCAUAAGCAGGUUAGAAGGGCAGAUCAGAGACCUUAAGUACGAUAGUGAUAUGUAAGCUGCUGCGGAUGAGGGUGAGAAGAAAAAAUUAGCCCAAGAAAAUGAAGUCCUCCGGGCCUAGAUCCAAAGGAUGAAGAUAACUGCUGAGAAUCUGGAAAGAAGCCGAACAGAUGAAAGACUCAUUAAUGGUCUUAGGAAGAAAAUAUAUGAGUACGGGAAUGAUUUAGAAAAAUCCGAAGGCAGUUUGGCAAGAGCCCGAGCAUAGUUAGUGAAGAAUUCCGCGGGACGGGCUGAGUUUGUUCGGCAGUUAAAAAGGAAAUAUGAUGGAGAAGUCACAAACCUGAAGAAAAGUCUAACUACCCUCGAGAAGAUGGCUAAACAAGACAAGAGCUUCAAAGACAAGAGAUAACAUUGCUACGGUUUGAUGGCACAGCUAGAGGGAGACCUACAAUAUUUGCAAGAACAGAAUCAUACAGCCACCUAGAUCUUGGAGGCUAGAUCUCAGUAGAUUGGGCGUUUGUUGCAAGAAAAGGGCAUCAUUAGGGAAAGGGUUAGAAGAAUCGCCGACUACAUUGUGAUGAAGUGCAAUGAAAGCGAGGACAUGACCAGGUCCAUGUUCUUCGCCAUAGUAAUGAUCUUCAUUCGCCAGAUAAUGGAUGAUCUCUACCGCCUCCAGGAUGAUAUGGCACGUAGGCCCGCAGCAAGACCAGUUGGUGUUCCUAGAGCAGGAUUGGAGGCAUUGAUAUACUAUUGAUUGUUUUCCCUUUUUCAAGUCUGUAUUUUCGUUCCUAAAAGUCUGUUUCGAGUCUGUUUUAGUUUUCAAUUCUCAAGUAUGUAGGAUCGAGUCUUUGUAAUAGAGAAAAAUUAAAGGUCUUGUUUUAAUGAAAAUUUGAAAAAACCAAAAAUGUUUUAUUUUUGCAUUUUUAUUCCUUGAACUACGUCAUGAUCUGAUUCACACGACGUCGGGGAGAAAACAAGGAAAAGAGAAUGAGAACAAGAGAGAAAAUAAGAGUGCAAAAGAGAGCGAGAGAAAAGAGCGGGGAGAUAAACGAAAGUCGGGAUGAGACAUGCAAUCGUUGCAAAACAUAACAGAUUUAACUGUAUAGGUGCAUCACACCCCCAAUGUGCGAUUUCCAAUGUGUUAAUUGCUUCAAACUAACCGGUUUGUUGUCUACUGUUGAGUAUAGGUUUUGUUUUUAAGGUGGUUGGUUUGUGGUAACCUGGCUUCACACCCAUACUUUACAAGAUCCAAGGGCAGUAUAGAAAUAUCAUCGGAAGGUCAUCCACCAACUAUUCCCAUCCUAGAGGAUAGCUCGCUAUCGGUUAUCCCAACUUCAGAAUCAGCGACUGCUGAAGAGAAUAGGGCACUGCGCCUCCGCGUGCUAGAAAUAUGGGACGCCUGGUUCAAUGGGAGAGAGCCACCAAGUGCCAUACCCGAUUUCCCCAAGCUACUUCCUAGAGCAAGUGGAAAUUCCAAUGUCCCAAUAAAUUACCCGAAUACCCCACUUGGAUACCCCACCAUCUCAACUCACUUCACCGGAACACCUUCUAAGGUUUUCCCCCAGGUAGUUUCGGGAGUGGCCUCCAACAUAUUUACCGCACCACCAACCUCAGCUGCGGUACAGCCGACUGUGCCCAGGCCAACCUUUGAUCCAUUAUCUUUCACUUUCCAAGUACCAUCUUUUCCACCAGAACCUACUCAUUUCACCACCAAUUCUUACCCUCAACAACUCCAGUACGAGUUUACCACAAGAUAGGAGAAGGCUACAAAGAACCCCGAGCAGGAGGAAAUCACUCGGAAGAUGAGGAGCAUGGAACAGAGCCUUAAGAAUAUACAAGGCUUGAGUGGACAAAAGAGCGUAUCAUACGCUGAUCUAUGUAUGUUCCCACAUGUGCAUUUGCCCCCGGGUUUCAUGACCCCAAAGUUCAAAAAGUAUGACGGGCACGGGGAUCCCAUAGCCCACCUCAAGAGAUACUGCAAUCAAUUAAGAGGGGCAGGCGGAAAAGAAGAGCUCCUAAUGGCUUAUUUCGGAGAGAGUCUAUUUAGCAUUGCAUCUGAGUGGUACAUGGAUCAGGACGUAUCUCGUUGGCACAUUUGGGAUGAUCUGGCUCGAGAUUUUGUCAAGUAGUUUCAGUAUAACAUAGACAUAGCUCCCGACAGGAAUUCUCUAUCAAAUCUCAAGAAGAAGUCAUCGGAAAGUUUCCGAGAAUAUGCUGUUAAAUGGCGCGAACAACCGGCCAGGGUCAAUCCCUCGAUGGAUGAAAUGGAAAUGAUUAUUGUUUUUCUACAAGCCCAAGAGGCUGACUACUUUCAGAAUAUGAUGUCUGCAAUGGGGAAACCGUUUGCUGAGGCCAUCAAGAUUGGUAAGAUGGUCGAGAAUGGUCUAAAAAUAGGGCGCAUAUUGAGCCAAUCUGCCAUAAGAGCUAUAUCCCAAGCAAUUCAAAGUGGGUCCGGAGGUGUAGCGAAUAGAAAGAAGAAGGAAGAAGUGGCGAUGGCGGCUUCAUGUCUGAGAAACCCACCUCCACCCAGAGGUUACGACCCUCCAAGCGCACCACAACAUUAUUAUCCCCACCAGGAUGUAGCUUAUGCUAUGGCCCCCAGCCUUACGCGGUGAUGAACGCCUAGCCAUACGCUCGGCCACAACAAUAGUUUAAACAGAGCUCCACCUCCUAGAAAUAACCCUUUCCACCAAGCUUCAUUAUAAUCCCCGACCUCCACAAAAUAACUUCCCUUACAAUGCCCGUGCUCGGGAGCCACCCAGGAGAACAAACUUCACGCCUAUUGGUGAGUCAUAUUCUAGCCUUUUCCCUAAACUAGUCAAAAUGGGUUUGCUACAACUCGUACCCCCGAAUAGACAAAACCAGAGUCACCUUCCUACCAACCCGGUACCCGAUGUGCCUAUCAUUUUGGGGUGGAAGGACAUAACAUUGAAGACUGUUAGACUCUCAAAAGGGCCAUUGAGAACUUGAUAGAGCAGAAGAGGGUAGUACUGAAAGACGAAGAGAUCCCCAAUAUGACCAACAACCCAUUGCCGGCUCACAACAACGGGCCAGUAAUUGGGAUGAUUUAUGAAGAUAAAGAGUUUGAUCAGCUCUAAAAGCCAUCAUUGCCAUAGCCGAUGUGGAAAAGAAGCCAAAGGCUAUCGUGAAGCAAGAUAAGGGGGAGAAGAAAAGUAAACCCACCCCUCAAAGUGCAGAAAAGACAGUGGAAACCCAAACUAGGGCAGUACCCCUAAAAGAUGCCAUUCUCUAUGUUCCCCGGGGUCAUAGGAAAGAGCAAAUGACAUUAAGCCUUCCAAAAAAGGUUCGAGCUGAACAAGGGAACUAAAAUGUACGUGCCUAAAGGGGCCUAUAUGGUACGGGGGCCAGUAAUUUCACCAAGGCUAAAUGAGCUCGUGGUUAUUGUUCGCGCACCACAGAAGCCCAUGACCGACCCUACUGCCAUCCCAUGGAAUUAUAACAAGGCGGUAGUAACCUACAAGGGAAAAGAGGUCCUAGGAGAAGCAAAUGAAACUAACACAGCUGAGAAAUACCUUAACUUGGAGGAUUUGAACAAAUCCAAGAAGAAGCGUUUCCCACUCAAGAAGCUCGUCAGCGCUGAGGAGGCCGAAGAAUUCUUCCGUAAAAUGAAAACUGCAGACUAUGAGGUAAUAGAACAACUACGAAAGUCUCCUUCACAGGUCUCACUCCUGUAUCUACUGGUAAGCUCAACCGAGCAUCAGAAAGUGUUGAUAAAACCCUCAAUAAAGCUUAUGUUCCGAUUGAAACCACUGUUGAACAACUGGAAAGGAUGGCGGAAAGAUUCUUCGCAAUCAACCAAAUCUCAUUUAGCAAGAAUGAUUUGCCCCCGGAAGGGGCUGCCUAUAAUAAAGCCCUUCAUUUGAUAGUUAAAUGUGAGGGGUACUAUGUGAGGAGAGUCAUGCUGGAUGGCGGAUCCGGAGUUGAUAUCCAUCCUCUCUCAACUUUGCAAAGAAUGGAUAUUGGGACUGAGAGAAUUAGGCCUAACAAUGUAUGUGUGCGCGCCUUUGAUGGCAUCAAGAGGUACACCAUAGGUGAGAUCGAUUUGAUUCUGACUAUUGGUCAUGUGGAUUUCGAGGUGACAUUUCAGGUCCUAGACAUGGACACUUCUUAUAAUUUCGUCUUGGGAAGGCCGUGGAUUCACGCAGCAGGGGACGUACCUUCCACUCUCCACCAAAUGGUGAAAUUUGAAUAUGAAGAUCAGGAGAUUGUAGUCCACGGAGAGGACGAUCAGUCACUUUACCGGGACCCGUCAGUCCCAUGUCUCGAAGCUUGGGAAGGUAGCGAACAUAUAGUCUAUCAAGCUUUCAAGGUUGUGGUCGCAAACCAAUGUGAAGAAGGAAGCCCAUGCCCUCAACACUUUCUCUAAAAUGUGUCAAUUAUGGUUUCCAAGGAAAUGAUCAGGCAUGGUUAUAAGCCCGGGAAGGGGCUCGGGACUUCAUUGCAAGGUAUUACAGAACCUAUCAUUCUGGCUGCUAGCGGGAAGUUCUUUGGUGUGGGUUUUCAAGCCACGCCAGCUGAUGAAACAUGGGCAAAUGAGCGAAAGAACAAUGGUUGGGUCUUGCCUCAGUCGAUCCCUCACCUUUUCAAGACAUUCGUCAAGCCCAAGUACAUAUAAGAGGAAGACGAGGCCUUCACGGCCGAAGAAAUAGAAGAAAUAUAUGGAGCUAUGAGGAAGAUGUUGUAUGAAACCCACAUGGUCCAUCCAGGAGAAGUCUCGAGAACCGCUGAGGUGCUGUAUAUGGGGCCCAAUGCCAAGUUGAAAAAUUGGAAGACUACUCCGUUCCCAGUCAUGAGGUGCUGUAUAUGUGGAGGUAUGAGGCAGAUGUUGUAUGAAACCCACAUGGUCCAGCUGGGAGAAGGCUCGAGCACCACUGAGGUGCUGUAUAUGGGGCCUAAUGCCAAGUUGCAAAACUGGAAGGCUACUCCGUUCGCAGUCAGGUGGGAAUCCCGGUAGUCCAAUCUUGCCAACUUUUCUGCAUCACAAGUUAUUCUAGGGUGUAACUCGGAUGUUUCUUUUAGUUUACCGUCUCUAAAUUCCAAUAUAAACCCUGUUAUCUUUAAAAUUCAAUGAAAUGAAAUCAAUAUUUCAUCGUUCAUGAAUCUCUCUCUUUAUUCUUUUUUAUUUUUGUUAUUUUCUCUUAUUUCUUCUUUCAGUUCUAAUAAUGCGGCUUCAAAUAACAUGACAUGCUUGCGGACUUCAUGCUCAGAUCCAAACACGCUGUCUAAUUGUGAAAUAAUGAAUCAAGAACCGGAAUAUGAUGAAGAGGCUUUUAGGGAAAUAAACUGAGAAUUAGAACAAUUCGAGAAUAAACCUAAGCCAAACUUAAAUGAAACCGAGCCGGUUAAUUUGGGUAGUUCUGAAGAGGUCCAAGAAACCAUGAUAAGCAUUCACACGAAUGAAAGAACCAGGGAUGCAUUGAUCCAACUUUUGUUCGAAUUCAAAGAUGUGUUUGCUUGGUACUACGAUGACAUGCCAGGAUUGAGCGUCGAUUUGGUGGUCCACAAGUUGCCGACUUACCCCGAUUAUCCCCCUUUCCAGCAAAAGCAGAGGAAGUUCAAAACUGAUAUCAGUGACAAGAUCAAAGAAGAAGUCACCAAACAGUUGAAAGCGGGGGUGAUGCGAGUGGUCCGAUCACCACAUGGUUAGCUAAUGUGGUUCCUGUGCCAAAGAAAGAUGGGAAAACUCGGGUGUGUGUUGACUAUCGAGACCUGAACAAAGCAAGUCCCAAAGAUAACUUUCCUCUGCCAAACAUCCAUAUCCUCAUUGACAACUGUGCCAAACAUGAGAUACAAUCUUUCGUGGAUUGUUAUGCUGGAUAUCAUCAGGUCUUGAUGGAUGAAGAAGAUGCGGAAAAGACAGCCUUCACCACACCCUGGGGCACCUAUUGUUACAGUGUUAUGCCUUUUGGUCUGAAGAACGCCAGGGCAACUUACAUAAGGGCUAUGACCACCAUCUUUCAUGACAUAAUGCACCAAGAAAUUGAGGUGUAUGUGGACGAUGUGAUCAUCAAAUCUAGAACACAGGACGGCCAUGUUCGGGACCUGAGAAAGUUCUUUGAGCGGCUGUGUAAGUAUGAUUUAAAGCUAAACCCAGCUAAAUGUGAAUUUGGAGUUCCGUUUGGGAAACUUUUGGGAUUCAAAGUCAGUCGGAGGGGCAUCGAGCUAGAUCCAACAAAGAUAAAGUCUAUUCGGGAUUUGCCUCUCCAAGAACCAAGAAAGAGGUUAAGAGCCUGCUGGGAAGGUUGAAUUACAUCACCGGAUUCAUUUCUCAGUUGACUUCCACAUGUAAGCCCAUAUUCAAGUUGUUGAAGAAAGAUGCAUCGAUUAAAUGGACAGACGAGUGUUAAGAAGCAUUUGACAAAAUCAAAGAAUAUAUGUCGAACCCGCCAGUCUUGGUCCCACCUGAACCGGGAGGCCUUUGUUUUUGUACCUGACAAUCUUGGAGAAUUCCUUCGGUUGUGUCCUCGGGCAACACGAUGUGAUCGGGAAGAAAGAGCAGGCAAUCUACUAUUUGAGUAAAAAGUUCACAAGUUAUGAAGCCAAAUAUACCUUGCUGGAAAGGACUUGCUGCGCCUUAACUUGGGUCGCUCAGAAGCUCAGGCAUUACCUAUUGGCCUACACCACUUAUCUCAUCACCAGGCUGGACCCGUUGAAGUAUAUAUUCCAAAAGCCGAUGCCCACAGGGAGGUUAGCAAAAUGGAAGAUCCUGCUCACUGAAUUUGACAUAGUCUAUGUCACUCGCACAACAAUAAAAGCCCAAGCUUUAGUAGAUCACCUAGCUGAAAACCCUGUUGAUGAUGAAUAUCGGCCUUUGAGCACUUACUUCCCGGACGAGGAAGUAAAUUCAGUUGAGGUAACAUCAGAAGACACCAAUGCUUGGAAAAUGUUCUUCGAUGGAGCUAUGAACGCAAAAGGUGUCGGGAUUGGGACAAUCUUGAUCUCACCCACUGGCCAGCAUUAUCCAGCCACAGCCCGACUUCAGUUUUUCUGCACAAACAACACCUCCGAGUAUGAAGCCUGCAUUAUGGGCAUGAAUAUGGCAAUCGACCAAGAUGUGGAAGAAUUGAUAAUCAUGGGAGAUUCAGAUCUGAUCAUCCGACAAGCUCAGGGAUAAUGGGAAACGAGAUGUCAAGCUUAUUCCAUAUAGGCAACAUGUGGAAGAUCUUAGUAAACGGUUCAAGUCAGUUGAGAUCAGGUACAUUCCUCGUUUUCACAAUGAGAUAGCCGAUGCACUCGCUACUCUAGCCUCGAUGUUGCCAUAUCCAGGCAAUGUCCACAUUGACCCACUGGAAAUCCAAAUCCGAGAAAGGCAUGGUUACUACCACACGGUUGAGGUGGAACCAAAUGUUCAACCAUGGUAUCAUGAUAUCAAGAGAUUUCUAAAAACUAAAGAAUAUCCUGAGCAAGCUAAUGGAGAUCGAAAGAGAACCAUUAGAAGGCUUGCCAGCGGUUUCUUCUUGAGAGGCGAGGUCUUGUACAAAAGGACUCCAGAUCUUAACUUGUUAAGAUGUGUGGAUGCCGAAGAGGCCGGAAGAAUCAUGCAUAAAGUACAUGCAGGAGUGGGCGGACCCCACAUGAAUGGAUACGUCUUGGCAAAGAAAAUCCUUCGAGCAGGCUAUUACUGGAUGACUAUAGAAAAAGAUUGUUUCAGUUUUGUCCGAAAAUGUCAUCAAUGUCAGGUGCACGGUGACCUGAUUCAUGCACCACCUACAGAACUGCAUCCUAUGUCAGCACCGUGGCCGUUCGUUGCUUGGGGUAUGGACGUCAUUGGACCAAUCUAGCCAAAAGCUUCAAAUGGGCAUAGAUUCAUAUUGGUUGCUAUUGACUACUUCACAAAAUGGGUUGAAGCAAUCACUAAGAAAGUAGUGGUGGAUUUUGUGCACUCUAAUAUCAUCUGCCAUUUUGGUAUUCCUACGACUAUUAUUACGGACAAUGCAACAAACUUGAAUAGUCAUUUGAUGAGGGAGAUAUGCGCACAAUUUAAGAUCACCGGAAUUCCACCCCUUAUCGGCCCAAAGCUAAUGGUGUUGUUGAAGCAGCAAACAAAAACAUCAAGAAGAUUCUUAGAAAGAUGAUCCAAAGUUAGAGACAGUGGCAUGAAAAGUUUCCAUUUGCAUUGUUAGGAUACCGCAUAACUGUUCACACAUUAGUUGGGGCAAUACCUUAUCUAUUGGUUUAUGGCACUGAAGCCGUAAUACCUGCAGAAGUUGAAAUCCCAUCUCUCCGAAUCAUCGUUGAGGCUGAAAUUGAAGAUAGUGAGUGGGUCAAGACCUAUCUAGAAUAGUUAACCCUGAUUGACGAAAAGCGAAUGGCCGCAGUUUACCACGGGCAGUUGUAUCAAUGAAGAAUGGCCUGUGCCUAUAACAAGAAAGUGCGGCCUAGGAACUUUGAAGUGGGGCAACUCGUUUUGAGACGUAUUCUCCCUCAUCACAAGGAAGCAAAAGGAAAGUUCACUCCUAACUGGAAAUGCCCAUACAUUAUCAGAAAUUGUUGCCAAAAUGGUGUUGUACCUAGGAGAUAUUGAAGGAAAUAACCCUAAAACCGUUGUAAAUGCAGACACGGUCAAAGGGUAUUACGUUUAACCCUUCCGCGGUGCCAAUAUUAUCUGAUUGGGAUGACGAAGGCUUUUAUUCUCGCUACUCCAAACACUUCUACCUGUUACUAACCCUUCGAGCCGGUUACCUUUUUUUGAUUACCCUCUUCAGAACCUGAAAACGUUUGUAAACAAAAAAAAUCAAUCAAAAAAAAAAAAAUAAAAAAAAUUUCAAAAAAAAAAAUCAAUCAAAAAUCAAAUCAAUAUAAAAAACAAAGUUUCCCUGAACUACGUUCGAUUUGAUUCCGAAAGGAUACGUAGACAACCUCUCUCUGGGGUUCAGUCACACCAAAAUAAAAAUCCAAAUUCCCCCAAAAGCGAAAUUGGGGCAGAUGUUAUAAUGGUUCGGUGAUGAUCCUGCCUGAAUGGUUUCAAAGUUGUAAUUCGAUCCAAAUUCUUUUUAACCCAAACCCUGUUCAAGUCCUUCCGAUCGAUUGGUGAGAGUGUUCAAUGAUUGGAGAACGCAACUACUUGGAUCCGAUGCAAUCAAAAUGAGAGAAAUAAAAUGAGAGAGUCUUGUUGGUGAAAAUCUACAUGGGCACCGUAAGGUGAUGGUAAGCAGAAAAAUUGAAAAAUGAGAGUCUUGUUAGUGAAAACUCGUAAAGAGCACUAUAAGGCGAUGGUGAGAAGACAAAUGAGAGAGGUCAAUUGGAAAAAACCCGCAAAUGGCGCCGUUGAUCGAAAAGAAGGAAUUCCUCACAAUCAUUGAUCCUGAAAGAGUCCAGGCAAGGUUUCCCGGUUUUAAAACACGGGUCAUAAUUGGUUUAUGAGAAGUUGGAUAGUUGCACAGAUCGGGUAUCCAGUCCAAGAAGCAUGUCAUGUCUAUUGAAGUCUGCAUGAACUCCAGAUAAGUCCUUCUUCCCUCCCCCGAAAGGGACACUUCUCUUUUAAUUCAUUAUUCUGUCCUUUCUUUACUUUUCUUUGAAUCCCUUUCAAUUUUAAUCUUCUUCUGAAACUAAUCGAAAGAAAAGAUGGCAAGAUUGGUUCUACAGGUUUCUGUUUAACAAAAACCAAAAUUCAAGGAAAAUCACCCAGCCUCAGCAGGUGCCUCAAGUCGAUCUCGACUGGCCUUGAUGGUUGAUGCUCCAGAGUCAGAAACUCUUGAAAAGGAAGUAAAUUCAAAGUCAAGUGCCCAUAAAGGUGAAAUAAAAUGAAAACCAAGCCCCAAGGGUUAACCGUCAAGUGAAAUUCUGGGAGAAAUCAAGAUAUCGGUUUUAGAAGAGAAAGCAGUCUCCAGAAAGCCAACAAGCAGUAAAGGAUUUCAGCAAAAGAGUUGGGCCGAGAUCAAGUGAUCAAAAUAAGCAAGGCCACAAAACCAACUACCAUUUCAAACUGACAAAUUGUUCUUUGAUUUGAAAAUAGGUGUAGUCUAAGAUAACCUCGCAAGAAGCAGGUGCAAUAAAAGCAAGGUGUACAGAGACCAGAAUGGUCCUGCAGCAGAAGUUAACCUAAAAAAGGGAAGUCCCUUUCAAACUCUUCAUGCAUUCUCUUGAAUAAAGUAUUAUGGUAGCCUAGGGUCCCCAAUCCCUAGCUACAUUCUUCCAACAUAGGGUCCCAUUCCCUAGUCACUCCCAGCAUAACCUGGUAGUCUUUUCCAUUAUGGGGUUCCACUCCCUAGUUAAUCCCCGGCAUAACCCGUUGACCUUCCCGGCAUAACCCGAGGAUCUUUUCUCUUUUCCGGCAUAACCCGUUGACUUUCUCCGGCAUAACCCGAGGACCUUUUCUCUUUUCCGACAUAACCCUAUGACCUUUCCCGGCAUAGCCCAUGGACCUCCCCGGCAUAACCCGAGGACCUCCCUGGUAUAACCCGAGGACCCUUUACCUUUCCGGCAUAACUCGAUGACCUUCCCCGGCAUAACCCGAGGACCUUUACCUUUCUGGCAUAACCCGAUGACCUUUCCCAGCAUAACCCAUGCACCUCCCCGGCAUAACCCAAGGACCUUUUUCUUUCCGGCAUAACUCGAUGACCCUCCCCGGCAUAACCCGAGGACCUUUUUUGGUAUAACCCGAUGACCUUUCCCGUCAUAACCCGCGGACCUCCCCGUCAUAACCCGAGGACCUUCAUCUUUUCCGGCAUAACUUGAUGACUUUCCCCGGCAUAACCCGAGGACCUUCCUACCUUUACGGCAUAUCCCGACCAUUCUCCCAGCAUAACCUGGCAAUCUUUCCAAUUUAGGGCUCCCAAUCCCUAGUUGAUUUCAUUAUAGAUAUAGGGAUCUACUCCCUAGUCUCUUUUUCUCAAAGGAUACACAAUCCUGAUUUUAUUGCUUUCAAUAAAAAAAUAUUUUAGCUUUUUGUUACAAUAACUCACGAAAUUUUCUUAGUGAAUACUGGGGCAGAAAAUUUUUGUUCUUUUUUUUGCUUUGGUGCGUGAAUAGGUUUUCACCGUGAGGAACAANNNNNNNNNNNNNNNNNNNNNNNNNNNNNNNNNNNNNNNNNNNNNNNNNNNNNNNNNNNNNNNNNNNNNNNNNNNNNNNNNNNNNNNNNNNNNNNNNNNNNNNNNNNNNNNNNNNNNNNNNNNNNNNNNNNNNNNNNNNNNNNNNNNNNNNNNNNNNNNNNNNNNNNNNNNNNNNNNNNNNNNNNNNNNNNNNNNNNNNNNNNNNNNNNNNNNNNNNNNNNNNNNNNNNNNNNNNNNNNNNNNNNNNNNNNNNNNNNNNNNNNNNNNNNNNNNNNNNNNNNNNNNNNNNNNNNNNNNNNNNNNNNNNNNNNNNNNNNNNNNNNNNNNNNNNNNNNNNNNNNNNNNNNNNNNNNNNNNNNNNNNNNNNNNNNNNNNNNNNNNNNNNNNNNNNNNNNNNNNNNNNNNNNNNNNNNNNNNNNNNNNNNNNNNNNNNNCAAGAAAAGAAGUUGAACUCGAGGUGCAGAAGCGGAGAAAUGAUGCGGACUACUCAAAAUUUGAUUGAAAUCACAAGUUUUGCAUGUCCAACCUUGAUCCAAAAGCUGAAGAAUGAACCAACAGUUGCAGCUAGCGAGCAUCAAGAUUCAGAUAAAAGUCUGCAGGAAGAACCAUCCAAGACUCAAGAUCAAGCUUUAGAAGGUUUAUAGAUAGGAAUCUUGUAAUUCGUAGUUGAUAGGCUUAGCUAGUUUAGCUUCUUAUCUUUUAUUUCGGUGUAAUCAGGAGUUCAGCAAGAAGAAACAGCAGAAACAACAACAACAGUAGUGAAAUCACAGUUUUUCGGUAGUCCCAGCUACCAAAACUUCCAGAACUACACUGACUUGAUUCUUUUAUAGCCAAAGAUAUGUAGGCAACUUCUGAAGCAAGGUUCGGUCUGGCUUUUUCAAAAGAUGCUUCCCAUGGAGUUUCAAACGGGCAAAAAUCCCUCAUAAUUGCUCACUUUGUCUUUGCCCGAAAACUUUUCGUGUUUUCGAGUAAAGAGGGGCAGCUAUGAGCAUGUGAUUUUUGCCCUAUAAGAAAUACUCCUAUAAAAUCCCAAGAAAAUAGGUUUUCUGUUAAUUAUUUGCCAUUUUAGGAAUUUUUGUAGAAUUUUCUUAAUUAUUUGCAUUUUUGUGCAUGUUUAAUUUUGUUCUAAAUCAUGAAAAAAUACCAAAAAUAUCAUGCAUUGUACUUAGGAUUUGUUCUUACAUUUUAGAAUUAAUCAGUAAUUAUUUGUUUUAUAGAAAUUUGAAAUUCACAAAAAAUAGCUCAUUUUUACAUUUUUUGUUUUUUAAUUAUUAGUUUAUUAAUUUUUUCUCUUUUAAUUUUGAAUUAAGUGAUGUCUAUAAUUUUCGUAAUUAGAUAAUUAAUCUAAUUUUAUAAUUUAGAUAAUUUAGGAUUUAUUUUUAGGAUUUCAUUAAUUCAAAAAAGAGAUUAAACAAAAAAAAUAAAUAAUAAAAGAUAGAGGGAAAAAUGAAUUUUGGAAGGGGUCUAACACAUUUGGGCUGCUCUUCAAUUGGUCUUAAUCCCCAGCCCAAAAAACCUAACCCAAACCCACCUUUUGACCCGCCCGUUUCCCCUCCAUAUAUAAACCUCCUUAUAUCAUUUCCCUAAUUCAAAUCCUAGACUAAAAAAUGCAGAAAUGGUGCCCCUUUGUACUGUUCAUCUUCUUCAAACCUCAACUCUCCUGAAACUCCGGCGAGUUCGCUCAAACGAGUUCAUUCUCUCCGCGUCACUUUUAUUCCAACAGAUUUCUGUCAGAGAAAAAGAAUAUUCCCUCCAAAUUUGCACGAUUUCUAUACUGUUGAGCGUUUUACUGGAUGAAUGAGAGCCGUGGAUGGAUGGAAUCAAUCCAUGCCCUCCAUUUGUCCCAAAAUCGCUCACAAACGAGGGGAUUUUUUGGAUUUUUGAGCAGAAGCUUCGAGAUUUUUUAGGGUUAUAUAUAAGGUAAGUCUUUUCUUGUUAAAGGGAGGAAAAUAUUUUCAAAAAAUUAGUAGAGUAAAUUUCUAGGGUUCUUGAAGUUUUUUCUUCUCUUCAGGCCUUCUUUUUAGUCCACAUCUUUUCAGAAAUCGAAAAACAAGAAAUAAAAAAUGGUCUGAGUUUGUAUUCUUCAUUCGAGUUUCAUUUUCAAAAGAAAAUCAGAGAAAAAGCACAAAAACGUUUUUCAGCAUUUUUUUGGUUGAUUCUGGGUUCUCAAGAAUGGGUUUGGAUUGAGUUUAUUUCUGGUUCUCAAAGCUGUGGAUUUGCCGUUGAUUUUGACUGUUGGUUUAGCGCUUGCUGGGCUCGAUUCAUAUCUUUCUCUGCCUUUAUUUGGUUGCUGCUAAUUCUCAUCGAGUUUUGGAGUUGACAUUUGUGUAUUGGCUGAUUUUUACUAAGAAUUUUGGCAAUAGCAUGUGCCUUCCUGUUACUCUUGCCUCUAGUAUUGUUUCUUGUUUGUGGUUAAAUGAGAGUUUGGUUGUUCUGAUUGUUUGAUAUCAAAAUAGUUGUGACCGUAUUUCUGUUUAGGACAUUAAAAUUAGUUUAUCUUCUCUUGUUAAAGUAAAAAUGGAAGAUUUUAACAAGUUUUAUCAGUUAAUGGAUGGGUUCAUAUUUCUGCUAUUCUUCCCUAUUAAGGUCUUUAAAGUUCUUGGUGUUCAUGCCUCAUCAUGAUUCAUGAGGAACAUCUAUUUCCUUAUAAAGGUCUUUGACACAUUAGGCCUGUAAAGGAGAGCGAAUCGCCCGAUACAGAAUCUUUGGCAUCAUAAACUAGUGCCUUUUUCUUCGCCAUAUAUGUUGUGCUGCUUACUUGGUGAACAACUAUGUUAUCCGAUUUUUGGUUGUUUAUACACAAAUUGAAAUGGAGCCGUUUGGAACCAUUAUUGAAACUGACUGCAACAUUAAUUUGGUAUUUUUUAGUUGUACAUUUGUUGGUAGUCACUUUUUUAGUUGAAUCACUGUGAUGUGGAGUUAUAUGAUUUUGAGGAUAUUACAAAGUAAAACUAAAAACGAGAGUGAUGAGACAUUUUUGUGUUGCCCUUGGUUUUGUAUUUUGUGAUAACUUGAUUCAUUUGUUGGACCGUCCUAACUCAAAAGUAUAGAGUAGUUAGCGAAUGUUUAAGAACUGAUUGAAUUUCCUUCUAACUAUUUCAUAUUAGCCAAAGUUAUGAUUUCUGUUGCUUUAAUGGACUAUAAAUGUGUAUUUGAAUUUUAAUUUGGGUGAAUUAGUGAAAUGGCUUGAGGAUGAUGCUUAUGUGAACUACUAGGAAGUUUAAUUCCAAUUAGGGAAUAUUGUUGCUAAUUAGUUGAAUCAUUCAAUUUUAAUUUGCAAUCCUUAGUCUCGAAAUGUGUUGGUCACCUAUCCUCCGGUCGAAUUUUGUAGUCAAUGCUUCAAUUAAUUCACUUCAAGGGUUGUCAUUUAA
rnacentral:lncRNA from 1 species